UACGUAGGGUGCGAGCGUUGUCCGGAAUUAUUGGGCGUAAAGAGCUCGUAGGCGGCUUGUCGCGUCGGAUGUGAAAGCCCGGGGCUUAACUCCGGGUCUGCAUUCGAUACGGGCAGGCUAGAGUUCGGUAGGGGAGAUCGGAAUUCCUGGUGUAGCGGUGAAAUGCGCAGAUAUCAGGAGGAACACCGGUGGCGAAGGCGGAUCUCUGGGCCGAUACUGACGCUGAGGCGCGACGGCGUGGGGAGCAAACAGG
rnacentral:rRNA from 1 species